rnacentral:rRNA from 1 species
AGCGAACGCUGGCGGCAGGCUUAACACAUGCAAGUCGAGCGGGCAUAGCAAUAUGUCAGCGGCAGACGGGUGCGUAACGCGUGGGAACGUACCUUUUGGUUCGGAACAACUGAGGGAAACUUCAGCUAAUACCGGAUAAGCCCUUACGGGGAAAGAUUUAUCGCCGAAAGAUCGGCCCGCGUCUGAUUAGCUAGUUGGUGAGGUAAUGGCUCACCAAGGCGACGAUCAGUAGCUGGUCUGAGAGGAUGAUCAGCCACAUUGGGACUGAGACACGGCCCAAACUCCUACGGGAGGCAGCAGUGGGGAAUAUUGGACAAUGGGCGCAAGCCUGAUCCAGCCAUGCCGCGUGAGUGAUGAAGGCCCUAGGGUUGUAAAGCUCUUUUGUGCGGGAAGAUAAUGACGGUACCGCAAGAAUAAGUCCCGGCUAACUUCGUG